CACGGGGGGAGCAAGCGUUGUUCGGAAUUACUGGGCGUAAAGGGCUCGUAGGCGGCCAACUAAGUCGGAUGUGAAAUCCCCAGGCUUAACCUGGGAACUGCAUCCGAUACUGGAUGGCUUGAAUCCGGGAGAGGGAUGCGGAAUUCCAGGUGUAGCGGUGAAAUGCGUAGAUAUCUGGAGGAACACCGGUGGCGAAGGCGGCAUCCUGGACCGGCAUUGACGCUGAGGAGCGAAAGCCAGGGGAGCAAACGGG
rnacentral:rRNA from 1 species